UGGCUGUGUCCCAAUUCCUAGGACGCAUCCUUCGAAGGCUGCAUUCGAAGGAUGCAUCGACGCCGAUUGCGUCACAGCGACGCGCCAAGUGCUGUCCCAAUUCCAAGGGUCCUUCAAAUGCGGCCUACGAAUGCAGCCUUCUUUUCCCGGAUUUGAAGGAUGCAUCGGCUGUAUCCUUCACGGCCCAACGUAUCCCAAGAUCCUUCACGGCCCAACGUAUCCCUCCCAAGAUUCAUUGCGCACUCAAUCAAUGGAGUUGGCGAAGAAUGGCGAUUUAAGUUUUGCAUUUAAAUGGAGCCAGCAGCAUACUGCUCGAUUUAUUCUAUAGAGGGGGGAGAACGAUGAGCUGUUCACCGGGGUGAAAUACUCGGCAAGUGUGGCUUGGGGGAUUGCAAGUAUCCAGGGUCAGGAGAGGGGGUAGGUGGGAAACCCACUGCUGCAACUUGGCCCUGGUUGGUCCUCAUGGAUGAGGUAUUGGGACAGAGGCAUUCCACCAACCCCCCUGUCCUAAUUGCCUCCAUCCCUGAGAACACACCAGGGCCAAGUACAGCAAGUACAGCAGUGGUGGAUCAGGAGGUGGGAGGACAAGGAUCAGGAGGAGGAAAGACAGCGAGGGCCAAGGUCCAGAAAGAGGGACAGAGAGGAAGACAUGUUCCAGAGUCGCUCACCAUCUUCCGAAAAGGACUCAAGACUCACCUGUUCAGAGUCCACCUCGACUCUGCAUAGCCACCCUCCCCCUUCUGGCCACCAUUGUACACUGUGUUGUAUUGUAUUGUAUUGUAUUGUAUUGUAUUGUAUUGUAUUGUAUUGUAUUGUAUUGUAUUAUAGACAGUACUUAACUGUGUAACAACUGCAGUAGCUGCUAUCAUGGCUGUAACACGGGGAAUUGAUUAGCCGAUUGUGGUACUUGCACUUGGUUCUAUGAACAUCCUUUCUGUACCGACAGCGAUAUAUUGAUGCACUUCUUAUGACAAAUGUACUUAUUGUAAGUCGCUUUGGAUAUAAGCGUCUGCUAAAUGCCCUAAAUUUAAAUGUAAAAUGUAAAUGUUCCUGUUAAUAAAAGAGGACAUGAGGCUACAAAGGGAGGCAGAGGAGAGAAGAGCCCAGGAGAGAAGGGAAAGAAUGGAUAGGUUUUUCUCAAUUUGAGCGUUUGGUGGACAAAUAACUUAUGUUCUGUUAUAUUUAACACAUUGUUUAUUAUUAUUUACAUAUUUAUUGAAACUAACUUAUUUAACUAACUAUUUAACUAACUUUUUUGAUUAACUAUUUAUUAAAACCCUAACUAACUUUUUUGUAUUGACUAAUGUAUUCGUAUAUAACUUAUAAAACAUAUAUACAACAAUAAAACAUUCAUGUGACUAUUUACAACAAUUAUUAUAAAACUUGUAUACAAAAA